rnacentral:lncRNA from 1 species
CAGGAUUCUUCAGCAGUCUGCCUCAUCUCUGUCUUCUGUCCUCCCUCCACUCCUGUCUCUGAGCCUGGCCUGCUCUCUACCACAGCCUCUUCCUGCUCACUAAACCGUGUUGCCUCUUCAGUUUCUGACACCUCCUCCCAGUCUGUUCCCUCUUUUCCCGCUGACCACUCAUCGUCGUCCACCACCCAUCCCCUGGCUCUGAGCCUUCUUCCCCCGGGGGUUCGCUUGGGGUUCGCUUGGGGGUUCGCUUGGGGUUCGCUUGGGGGCCUGGCACAGCUCCUCUGCAUCCAGCCAGUGCCUGACACAUACCCAGGAUAUGAGAAUCCUCAUGAGAUAAUGUAACUAAUGAGACAGAGUGCAAUUGCGGUUGUGUGAUAUUGAGAAUAAAAACCAGCUGGGAAAAUGGCUGUAUCAGAUGAGGAAAUGCCUUUGACUGCAGCCUUACUCCACCUGAAGGCAAGCCGCUGAACUAAUUGUUUCAAAAAACGACGCUUAUGCUAAAUAAUUGAAGGCGUUUAAAAAAUAAUAUAUGACCGUGGGGGUGGAGGCGGGGGUUGGGUAGAGAGAGUUGGGGAAGGCAAAAAAGGCAGCGGCAGCAGCAUGUUUGAAAAGACAUGUGAAAUAAACAGGAGCACUUGGAAGCUGCUUUUUUUCUUUGCCACCCAGAUCAGAGCUCUUCAUCCCUGCUAGCUUCUAUGCCAAUUAAGCUUUACUCUUCAACCCUGAAAUAAGGCCAGUCUGCAACCUACUGCACUCGGCAGAUGGCUGUUUAAUAUGUCUCACCUAACAGUGUGGGGGAAAUGUGAUGAUAGCAACAGUGGCAGCCGUCGCUUUAAAGAACUGUAGGAUCUUGGAGCAUACGCAGGGUUGCCGUAUUUCAGAAAGUGAAAACCAGGAUUUUUUGGUUGACUCCCCACCCCCCGGAUGUCAAUUCUGCCUUUGACAAAGAGGACAUGGGAGGGUCCUACAAUGAUUUUGCAGAAGAAGACUGGGUUUCAAAAAGGACUUGGACAAUCUAGCGCAGAAUUUCCCCAAAAUGACUCUUUUUUGGCCACUGCUCCUGGAGAGACGCGUUUAGCGUGGCAGCGACUGCCUAGCCGCAACAGAUCAUACCCGAAAACGCUUGAAUCAUUCUGUGGCACAGAAGGUGCACAUGUUGGGUGGACGGGUGAUUGCACACCCCACCAUAGCUUACAGCAAGAUGAUGAAGAAGAAGAAGAGCUUGGAUUUGAUAUCCCGCCUUUCACUCCCUUUAAAAGGUAAAGGUAAAGGUACCCCUGCCCGUACGGGCCAGUCUUGACAGACUCUAGGGUUGUGCACUCAUCUCACUCUAUAGGCCAGGAGCCAGCGCUGUCUGCAGACACUUCCGGGUCACGUGGCCAGCGUGACAAGCUGCAUCUGGCGAGCCAGCGUAGCACACGGAACGCCGUUUACCUUCCCACUGGUAAGCGGUCCCUAUUUAUCUACUUGCACCCGGGGGUGCUUUCGAACUGCUAGGUUGGCAGGCGCUGGAACCGAACGACGGGAGUGCACCCCGCCGCGGGGAUUCGAACCGCCGACCAUGCGAUCGGCAAGUCCUAGGCGCUGAGGUUUUACCCACAGCGCCACCCGCGUCCCUUCACUCCCUUUAAGGAGUCUCAAAGAGGCUAACAUUCUCCUUUCCCUUCCUCCCCCACAACAAACACUCUGUGAGGUGAGUGGGGCUGAGAGACUUCAAAGAAGUGUGACUGGCCCAAGGUCACCCAGCAGCUGCAUGUGGAGGAGCGGAGACGCGAACCCGGUUCCCCAGAUUACGAGACUCUUUUUUUAAAAAAAAGAUAUUUAUUAAAGUUUCAACAUAUUACAAAAAUAAUC